AGCGAACGCUGGCGGCAGGCCUAAUACAUGCAAGUCGAACGGUCUCUUCGGAGGCAGUGGCGGACGGGUGAGUAACGCGUGGGAAUAUGCCCUUUGGUACGGAACAACUGAGGGAAACUUCAGCUAAUACCGUAUGUGCCCUUCGGGGGAAAGAUUUAUCGCCAUUGGAGUAGCCCGCGUUGGAUUAGGUAGUUGGUGGGGUAAAGGCCUACCAAGCCUACGAUCCAUAGCUGGUCUGAGAGGAUGAUCAGCCACACUGGGACUGAGACACGGCCCAGACUCCUACGGGAGGCAGCAGUAGGGAAUCUUGCGCAAUGGGCGAAAGCCUGACGCAGCCAUGCCGCGUGAAUGAUGAAGGUCUUAGGAUUGUAAAAUUCUUUCACCGGGGAAGAUAAUGACGGUACCCGGGAGAAGAAGCCCCGGCUAACCUUCGUGCCAGCAGCCGCGGUAAACGUCUACUG
rnacentral:rRNA from 1 species